CAGAGUGGAUUGAGCCUUCAAAUUAAGGCUGAUCAAAUGUUGUUCCAUAUGUGUUACAUCUGCAUGAGAAAAAAAGCCACAUCUUACAAACAGAAAAGAGAGCAAGGUUACCAUACGGCUAGAUUUUCCCGACAUGACCUAUUUCUUUGGUAGUCUGCUCUCUCUCCGGGGGGAUUUUUCAAAUAACAGGAAAUAUCUGGGAUUUUUCAAGCAGAGCACACGUUGCAGCUCAGAAAGAGCUGUCUCUGUGCUCCAGUUGGUUCCUCCCCUGCAGCCACAGCUGCUGUAUCCCAUCUGCCACGGCCCACCCUGCCAGAAAGUCCAGUUGAAAAGGGAACCCACAGUAACUGGCCUCCGCCACCAGGGGCGGGAGGAGCAGCAGCUGCUGCUGGAGCCUGGAGGAGCUGGUCUCUGCUAAGCUGAUGACUCUUUACAGAGAGAGCUGGCUGGCUCUGGGACCCCGCUCCAGCCUCUCCAGCACAGAGAUUUGACAAAAUGCAAAGAAGAUACCAGUGUGAGAUUUCUAAAGAUAGCUACAGCACUCGACCCAAGGUUUAAGAAUCUGAAGUGCCUUCCAAAGUCUGAGAGGGACAAGGUAUGGAGCAUGUUUUCAGAAGUCUUAAAAGAGCAACACUCCCAUGUGGAAACUACAGAACCCGAACCUCCUAAAAGGAAAAUCUACCUUCUGCUGGUGGCAUCUGACUCAGAUAAUGAAAAUGAACGUGCGUCGAUCCACGUUGCUUUGGAUUGUUAUCAAGCAGAAUUCGUCAUCAGCAUGGACACGUGUCCCCUGGAAUGGUGGUUGAAGCAUGGAGGAACAUAUGAAUCUUUAGCACAUCUGGCAUGUAAAUAUCUUGCAAUACCAGCUACAGCAGUGCCACGAGAACACCUGGUGGCACUAUAAACUUUCAGGUGGCACUAUAAACAAGAAGCAGGCAGCAUUAUCUCCUGCAAAUACGAACAAGUUUGUUUACCUGAGCGAUUGGCUGAGCAAGAAGUAGGAGUGGGUGGACUUGCAGGCUCUAAAAUUUUACAUUGUUUUAUUUUUAAUGCAGUUUUUUGUACAUAAUUCUACAUUUGUAAGUUCAGCUUCCAUGAUAAAGAGAUUGCACUACAGUAUUUAUAUUAGGUGAACUGAAAAAUACUAUUUCUUUUGUUUUUUACAGUGCAAAUACUUGUAAUCAAAAAUAAAGUGAGUACUGUACACUUUGUAUUGUGUUAUAAUUGAAAUCAAUAUAUUUGAAAAUGUAGAAAACAUCCAAAAUAUUUAAAUAAAUGGUAUUCUCUUAUUGUUUAACAGUACGAUUAAUCACGAUUAAUUUUUUUAAUUGCUUAACAGCCCUAAAAUAAAUCCAAUCACUUGGCUGGGCUUCCCAAUUCCCCUGAAACUCCUUUUACUUGAGAGUUGAUAGAUAUAGAAUUUUGUGCUAUUAGACAGGCGCUGCAGAUCACUAAUCUAGACAGCCA